GACGUAGGGCGCGAGCGUUGUCCGGAUUUAUUGGGCGUAAAGAGCUCGUAGGCGGCUUGUCGCGUCGAAUGUGAAAACUCGGGGCUCAACUCCGAGCUUGCAUUCGAUACGGGCAGGCUAGAGUUCGGUAGGGGAGACUGGAAUUCCUGGUGUAGCGGUGAAAUGCGCAGAUAUCAGGAGGAACACCAAUGGCGAAGGCAGCUCGCUGGGACGGUACUGACGCUGAGACGCGAAAGCGUGGGGAGCAAACAGG
rnacentral:rRNA from 1 species